rnacentral:rRNA from 1 species
UCGCGUGAGGGAUGAAGGCCUUCGGGUUGUAAACCUCGGAAAUUAUCGAAGAAUGAGUGACAGUAGAUAAUGUAAGCCUCGGCUAACUACGUGCCAGCAGCCGCGGUAAUACGUAGGAGGCAAACGUUGCUCGGAUUUACUGGGCGUAAAGGGUGAGUAGGCGGACUUAUAAGUCUAAGGUGAAAGACCGAAGCUCAACUUCGGAAACGCCUCGGAUACUGUAAGUCUUGGAUAUUGUAGGGGAUGAUGGAAUUCUCGGUGUAGCGGUGGAAUGCGCAGAUAUCGAGAGGAACACCUAUAGCGAAGGCAGUCAUCUGGGCAUUUAUCGACGCUGAAUCACGAAAGCUAGGGGAGCAAACAGGCUUAGAUACCCUGGUAGUCCUAGCCGUAAACGUUGUACACUAGGUGCUUCUAUUUAAAUAGGAGUGCCGUAGCUAACGUCUUAAGUGUACCGCCUGAGGAGUAUGCCCGCAAGGGUGAAACUCAAAGAAAUUGACGGGUCCCCGCACAAGUGGUGGAGCAUGUGGUUUAAUUCGAUGAUACGCGAAAAACCUUACCUGGGUUUGAAUUGUAAGAUGAAUGAUUUAGAGAUAAGUCAGACCGCAAGGACGUUUUACAUAGGUGCUGCAUGGCUGUCGUCAGCUCGUGUCGUGAGAUGUUGGGUUAAGUCCCGCAACGAGCGCAACCCUCACCCUUUGUUGCUACCGAGUAAUGUCGGGCACUCUUAGGGGACUGCCUACGUUCAAGUAGGAGGAAGGUGGGGAUGAUGUCAAGUCCUCAUGGCCCUUAUGUCCAGGGCUACACACGUGCUACAAUGGCAAGUACAAAGAGAAGCAAGACCGCGAGGUGGAGCAAAACUCAAAAAAGUUGCCUCAGUUCGGAUUGGAGUCUGAAACUCGACUCCAUGAAGUUGGAAUCACUAGUAAUCGUAGAUCAGAACGCUACGGUGAAUACGUUCCCCGGGGAUUGUACACACCGCCCGUCACGCC